UUUUCAACCUUUGCACAAUUUUUUUCUUUGAUCUCCAAUAUUUUUUUUUUGUAAUGAAGUUCCUACCCUCUUGAUUUUAUUGCGAUUACGUACUAGCUUUUAAAAGAGGUGUUAGAAUUAAUGAAAUUGUCAUAUCAGCGUCUGCUUGGUUUUUUUUGUACGUCAAUUUUGGUCUCCAAAUUUUGCAUGUUUUUCAGUUUAAACUCCAAAAAUAAAAAUUUAAAAUUUUGAAUUUAAAUUCAGAAUUAAUAUUAAAAUUAAAAUUUUAAACUAACCAGAAAUUAGAAUUUUGAAUUUGAAUUUAAGUUUGAAUUUGAAUUGAAAUUCAAAUUUUAAAUUAAAUCUAACUUUUGAUUUCAAACUUCAAUUUUUUAUUUUUAUUUUGAUGUUUGAAUUUAUAUUCAAAAUUUGAAUUUUAAAUUUAAAUAUGUAAUUUAAAUUUAGACAAAUUAGAAUAAGUAGCUUUGAGUUAUCAAGUUGAUUUAUUAUUUUUUUA
rnacentral:lncRNA from 1 species